rnacentral:rRNA from 1 species
ACGGCUCAGUAACACGUGGAUAAUCUGCCCUUGGGACUAGAACAACCCCGGGAAACUGGGGAUAAUUCCGGAUAACGCACAUAUGCUGGAAUGCUUUAUGCGUAAAAUGGAUUCGUCUGCCCAAGGAUGGGUCUGCGGCCUAUCAGGUAGUAGUGGGUGUAAUGUACCUACUAGCCGACGACGGGUACGGGUUGUGAGAGCAAGAGCCCGGAGAUGGAUUCUGAGACAUGAAUCCAGGCCCUACGGGGCGCAGCAGGCGCGAAAACUUUACAAUGCGGGAAACCGUGAUAAGGGGACACCGAGUGCCAGCAUCAUAUGCUGGCUGUCCGGGUGUGUAAAAUACACCUGUUAGCAAGGGCCGGGCAAGACCGGUGCCAGCCGCCGCGGUAACACCGGCGGCCCGAGUGGUGAUCGUGAUUAUUGGGUCUAAAGGGUCCGUAGUCGGUUUGGUCAGUCCUCCGGGAAAUCUGACGGCUCAACCGUUAGGCUUUCGGGGGAUACUGCCAGGCUUGGAACCGGGAGAGGUAAGAGGUACUACAGGGGUAGGAGUGAAAUCUUGUAAUCCCUGUGGGACCACCUGUGGCGAAGGCGUCUUACCAGAACGGGUUCGACGGUGAGGGACGAAAGCUGGGGGCACGAACCGGAUUAGAUACCCGGGUAGUCCCAGCCGUAAACGAUGCUCGCUAGGUGUCAGGCAUGGCGCGACCGUGUCUGGUGCCGCAGGGAAGCCGUGAAGCGAGCCACCUGGGAAGUACGGCCGCAAGGCUGAAACUUAAAGGAAUUGGCGGGGGAGCAC